AGGAGUACCAGUUCUUCCUUAUCCAAUACUUUCCUUAAAAAGUUGUAAUGCUUAAGAAUUUGGUGUUAUCUUACUAGCAUACCUUAGUGUGAAGAAGCCAUUCACCAUUAAGUAUACUUUGAAAACUUAUGGAAACCAGUUCCAGCUGCAUCUCUACAUUAUUUCCUUUAUUAUGGAACAAAAUUGUCUUGUUUUCUAUAAUUUUUCUAGCACUAGGAAAUACCAUAUAGCCAGGGGAACCUCUUAUGGCUCUCUGAAUUUUUUAACAUCUACAAGCUGCCUCAUUUCCAGCUAUUUUCUACUAUGGAAGGUGAUUUGUUUAACAACAAGAUAUUGAAAUGUUAAGGCCACUUUGGGAAUGGAGGUGUCCCUCUUACUUCAAUCAACGGGAACAAUAAAAGUGUGUACUCGCU